GUCUAUGGCCAUACCACUCUGAACGCGUCCAAUCUCGUCUGAUUGUGGAAGCUAAGCAGGGUCGGGCCUGGUUAGUCCUUGGAUGGGAGAAAUGCAGAAUCUCAGACC
ensembl:rRNA 5S_rRNA 5S ribosomal RNA